CAGGAUAACAGUUCAAAGAUUAAAUUGAUAAAUUAAAUAAUACAUAGAUCCAACUGAAGAAAAAAAUGAUAGGUUAGGGAUUAAAAUAGAUGUUAUCCUUUGUGACUGGUUAACAAGGAUAUUCGAUCACAAAAAUAUUAAUUUACUGAAUUAUUGUAAUACUUUAAUUCUAAAAAAGAAAAAGAAAAAGAAAGGAGAAGUGUGACAGCAAUAGCAUAAUCAUGGAGAGCGUGAAGGUGGUGACGGUGAAGCCAAUCGAAGCAACUCCAUCAACCUUCAAAGACUACGGUCAGGUCAUCGAGGCUUCACCGGACGGCGAGGGUUUCGGCCCCCACGACGCUCAACUUGACCUCACCCAAGGAAUUCCCAGGCUCUACAUUAUGCAUCUUGAAAAUCGCCCACUUAAGUUUUCUAUUAUCACACAUCAUGCAAGCGUGACUCAGUGCCUUGGGUCCAUUGGUGGUAAUGUUUGGUAUCUUGGAGUGGCUAAGCCAUCCCUUGUUGAUUCAGAUGAAAUCAAGGACAAGAAAAUCUUGCAGUCACACAGUGGUCAUUUUUAUGUUCCUCCUGCCAUUGAGGAUGUCCAAGUUUUCAAGGUUUCAGGUUCCAAAUUUCUCAAGCUUAAUCUCGGGACAUGGCACGCGGGUCCUCUAUUUAAGUCUGACACAAUGGACUUUUACAACCUAGAACUCAGUGAUACAAAUGUGGUUGAUCAUACCACACACAACUUUAAGGACAAUGGAGUGGUCUUUUCAAUCGAUGAGUAAUAAUCAGUAUCAUCAAGGGGAGGCUCAGCUGCUUCAUCUGCACCCUCAAACCCAGUGAUUAUGUGGACUCUCCAUUGAUGAAGAACAUAUUACUACCACUUCGAUUGCCCUUUUCAGUGAAGCUAUAUCAACUCAUCUUCCACCAUCUAAUUCACAGAUCAAAUAACCAAAUGUCAUUAUUGUGGAAACCUGAUUAAAUUCAAGGAUGAGACAAGUACUAUGACUAUGCAUUUGAAAAGAUGUAAGUACCAUACUGAUAAUCAAGAACGCAAAAGACAUCUCUAUCAACAAAGCUUAUAGAAGGGGAAUUAUAUGUUGUCUCUUCACCUCAUUCAAUGUUUGACCAAGAUGCAUGUCGAUUGGAGCUUGUGAAAAUGCUUGUGGAUGCAAAGUUUCUGUAACAUCCCGCUUUUUCAUGACAUUAACUAACGAAAUUUUAAACAUAACAUUAUAACAAUAUAUCACAUAGUA